CCUACGGGUGGCAGCAGUGAGGAAUAUUGGUCAAUGGACGAGAGUCUGAACCAGCCAAGUAGCGUGAAGGAUGACUGCCCUAUGGGUUGUAAACUUCUUUUAUAAAGGAAUAAAACGAGGCACGUGUGCCUUUUUGCAUGUACUUUAUGAAUAAGGAUCGGCUAACUCCGUGCCAGCAGCCGCGGUAAUACGGAGGAUCCGAGCGUUAUCCGGAUUUAUUGGGUUUAAAGGGAGCGUAGAUGGGUUGUUAAGUCAGUUGUGAAAGUUUGCGGCUCAACCGUAAAAUUGCAAUUGAUACUGGCAGUCGUGAGUACAGUAGAGGUAGGCGGAAUUCGUGGUGUAGCGGUGAAAUGCGUAGAUAUCACGAAGAACCCCGAUUGCGAAGGCAGCUUACUAAACUGUGACUGACAUUGAUGCUCGAAAGUGUGGGUAUCAAACAGGAUUAGAUACCCUUGUAGUC
rnacentral:rRNA from 1 species